AACGAACGCUGGCGGCAUGCCUAACACAUGCAAGUCGAACGAGACCUUCGGGUCUAGUGGCGCACGGGUGCGUAACGCGUGGGAACCUGCCCUUAGGUUCGGAAUAACUCCCCGAAAGGGGUGCUAAUACCGGAUAAUGUCUUCGGACCAAAGAUUUAUCGCCUUUGGAUGGGCCCGCGUUGGAUUAGCUAGUUGGUAGGGUAAAAGCCUACCAAGGCGACGAUCCAUAGCUGGUCUGAGAGGAUGAUCAGCCACACUGGGACUGAGACACGGCCCAGACUCCUGCGGGAGGCAGCAGUGGGGAAUAGUGGACAAUGGGCGAAAGCCUGAUCCAGCAAUGCCGCGUGAGUGAUGAAGGCCUUAGGGUUGUAAAGCUCUUUUACCCGGGAUGAUAAUGACAGUACCGGGAGAAUAAGCACCGGCUAACUCCGUG
rnacentral:rRNA from 1 species